AACUUUUGACAAUGGAUCACUUGGCUCUCGCAUCGAUGAAGAACGCAGCGAAUUGCGCUAAGUAAUGUGAAUUGCAGAUUUUCAGUGAAUCAUCGAAUCUUUGAACGCACCUUGCGCCCCUUGGUAUUCCGAGGGGUGCACCCGUUUGAGGGUCGUGAACACCCUCAACCUUCUCGGUAUAUCAACUGGAGAAGGCUUGGACUUUGGUGGUUUUUGUUGCUGGCCUCGUUUGAAGCCAGCUCCUCCUAAAUGAAUUAGUGGGGGCUGUUGUGCCGAUCCUCGACGUGAUAAGUACGCUUCUACGUCUUGGCGUUGGCCUGGAAUCCUGCUUCCAACCGUCUUUGAAUGAAGACAAAUGUUCGAGUUGUGACUCGACCUUAUAAACCUUGACCUCAAAUCGGGUGAGACUACCCGCUGAACUUAAGCAUAUCAAUAAGCGGAGGCU
rnacentral:misc_RNA from 1 species